rnacentral:rRNA from 1 species
GACAGAGGUCCCGAGCGUUAGGCGGAAUCACUGGGCUUAAAGCGUGUGUAGGCGGAUGUCUAAGUGCUUUGUGAAAUCCCACGGCUCAACCGUGGAAUUGCUGGGCAUACUGGAUGUCUUGAGUGGCCUAGGGGCAACUGGAACAAACGGUGGAGCGGUGAAAUGCGUAGAUAUCGUUUGGAACGCCAAAGGUGAAAACAGGUUGCUGGGGGCCAACUGACGCUGAGACACGAAAGCCAGGGGAGCAAACGGGAUUAGAUACCCCGGUAGUCCUGGCCGUAAACGAUGUCGACUAGAUCGCAGUGCCUCUGACGGUAUUGCGGUCGAAGCAAAAGUGCUAAGUCGACCGCCUGGGAAGUACGGUCGCAAGGCUAAA